rnacentral:rRNA from 1 species
UAGGGAAUAUUGCACAAUGGAGGAAACUCUGAUGCAGCGACGCCGCGUGAGUGAUGAAGGCCUUCGGGUCGUAAAGCUCUGUCGCAGGGGAAUAACACAAUGAAGGUACCCUGUAAGAAAGGAUCGGCUAACUUCGUGCCAGCAGCCGCGGUAAGACGAGGGAUCCUAGCGUUGUUCGGAAUUAUUGGGCGUAAAGCGGGUGUAGGUGGCUAUGUAAGUCAAGUGUGAAAGCCUGGGGCUCAACCCCAGAAGUGCAUUUGAUACUGCGUAGCUUGAGUGCUGGAGAGGUUACUAGAAUUCUUGGUGUAGUGGUGAAAUACGUAGAUAUCAAGAGGAAUACCGGAGGCGAAGGCGGGUAACUGGCCAAGCACUGACACUCAGACCCGAAAGCGUGGGGAUCAAACA